rnacentral:rRNA from 1 species
CGGACGAACGCUGGCGGCGUGCCUAACACAUGCAAGUCGAGCGGAGAUACAUUGAAGAUUUAUCGGAUAUGUAUCUUAGCGGCGGACGGGUGAGUAACGCGUGGGUAACCUGCCUUAUACAGGGGGAUAACACAGGGAAACUUGUGCUAAUACCGCAUAAUAUCAUUGUAUGGCAUCAUGUGGUGAUCAAAGGAGCAAUCCGGUAUAAGAUGGACCCGCGUCCAAUUAGCUAGUUGGUGGUGUAACGGACCACCAAGGCGACGAUUGGUAGCCGAACUGAGAGGUUGAUCGGCCACAUUGGGACUGAGACACGGCCCAGACUCCUACGGGAGGCAGCAGUUGGGAAUCUUAGGCAAUGGACGAAAGUCUGACCUAGCGACGCCGCGUGAGGGAAGAAGGCCUUCGGGUUGUAAACCUCUGUCAUAUGGGAAGAAGGAAUGACAGUACCAUAUGAGGAAGCUCCGGCUAACUACGUG